CCCGCUGAACUUAAGCAUAUCAAUAAGCGGAGGAAAAGAAACUAACAAGGAUUCCCCUAGUAACUGCGAGUGAAGCGGGAAAAGCUCAAAUUUAAAAUCUGGCGGUCUUUCGGCCGUCCGAGUUGUAAUCUGGAGAAGCGUUUAUCCGCGUUGGACCGUGUACAAGUCUUCUGGAAGGGAGCGUCAUAGAGGGUGAGAAUCCCGUCUUUGACACGGACUACCAAUGCUUUUGUGAUGCGCUCUCGAAGAGUCGAGUUGUUUGGGAAUGCAGCUCAAAAUGGGUGGUAAAUUCCAUCUAAAGCUAAAUAUUGGCGAGAGACCGAUAGCGAACAAGUACCGUGAGGGAAAGAUGAAAAGCACUUUGGAAAGAGAGUUAAACAGUACGUGAAAUUGUUGAAAGGGAAACGUUUGAAGUCAGUCGCGUCGGCCGAGACUCAGCCUUGCUUCCGCUCGGUGCACUUCUCGGUUGACGGGUCAGCAUCAAUUUCGACCGCCGGAUAAAGGUUGAGGGAACGUGACAUCUUUCGAGGUGUGUUAUAGCCCUUGAUUCGCAUACGGCGAUUGGGAUUGAGGAACUCGGCGCUCUGCGUCCAGGAUGCUGGCAUAAUGGCUUUAAGCGACCCGUCUUGAAACACGG
rnacentral:rRNA from 1 species